UCGGUUAAGUCCGCUAACCGAGCGCAACCCUCGCUGUGUGUUACAAGUGUCACACGGAACUGCCGGUCAUAAACCGGAGGAAGUGGGGAUGACGUCAAGUCAGCAUGGCCUUUAUAUCCUGGGCUACACACACGCUACAAUGGGAAGGGACAAUAGGUUGCGAAGCCGCGAGGCGGAGCCAAUCCAGCAAAACUUCCCUCAGUUCAGAUUGCAGGCUGCAACUCGCCUGCAUGAAGUUGGAGUUGCUAGUAAACGCAGGUCAGCCAUACUGCGUUGAAUACGUUCCCGGGGCUU
rnacentral:rRNA from 1 species